rnacentral:rRNA from 1 species
AGGAUUAACGCUGGCGGCGUGCCUAAUACAUGCAAGUCGAAUGGUAGCAAUACCAUGGCGAACGGGUGAGUAACACGUAGGUAACCUGUCUUUAAGCCGAGGAUAACCAUUGGAAACGAUGGAUAAUACUGGAUAGGACAUUUGAAGGCAUCUUUAAAUGUUUAAAGAUUUAUCACUUAGAGAGGGGCCUGCGGCGCAUUAGCUAGUUGGUGAGGUGAAGGCUUACCAAGGCGAUGAUGCGUAGCCGGACUGAGAGGUUGAACGGCCACAAUGGAACUGAGAACGGUCCAUACUCCUACGGGAGGCAGCAGUAGGGAAUUUUCGGCAAUGGGCGGAAGCCUGAACCCGAGCAACGCCGCGUGAACGAAGAAGUAUUUCGGUAUGUAAAGUUCUUUUAUUAGGGACGAAAAGACAGAUUGACGGUACCUAAUGAAUAAGCUCCGGCUAACUACGUGCCAGCAGCGGC